UACGUAGGGGGCAAGCGUUGUCCGGAUUUAUUGGGCGUAAAGAGCGUGUAGGCGGCUUUACAGGUCCGUUGUGAAAACUCGAGGCUCAACCUCGAGACGCCGGUGGAAACCGUAAAGCUAGAGUCCGGAAGAGGAGAGUGGAAUUCCUGGUGUAGCGGUGAAAUGCGUAGAUAUCUGGAGGAACACCGGUGGCGAAGGCGGCAUCCUGGACCAUUACUGACACUGAAAAGCGGAAGCCAGGGGAGCAAACGGG
rnacentral:rRNA from 1 species